UCCGUCACCAGCCACAGGCUCAGGGAUCCCCAGGCCACGUGCAAUUCUGACCCACCGGCCACAAAUCUGGAGGGGGGGUUCAUGACCCCCAUCAGGUUUAGGAAUUUGCUAGGAUAACUCACAGAGCUCAGGGAUCUGGAAGUCAAGGUGAGAAGCUCAUUCAGUGUGGGCUUUACAACACCCUCGGACCAUCCACAGAGCAAAUGCUACUCUCUUCUGCUGUCAUGAAGGAAAGACUUAGUGCAUUGUGACCUGCCGAAAGUCACACAGCCAGCAGACCAGCCCACCCUCAGCCUGGGACUUCUGAUGCUGAGACCAGGGCGUUUCCAGAACACCACGCUGAGACUUCACAAGUAAAAACCCUGACCCAGAAACACCACAGGAUCCUGUAUUUAUCUUUCGCUAUUUACCAAAGUAGACGUUCUAGAGAUCUUUUUUUUUUCCCCAGUGUAAUUUGAAAGUUUGAACCAAAAGGGCUUCUGAGAAGCAUUCAGUUGACAAGAAGCAGACAGCUCCUCCUCCUUCCCGCCCAUUCAUCUGCUCCCUGAGCCCUCUGGACAACGGGAGAAUUUAGUUUGAAUGCCCGUUUCUAACAACUCGGUUUCCCGAGUUUCUGAGCAACCCAGGCACCCACUAUUUGUCAUCAAGAGGGUGACCACGGUGUCUGCCCAGCUUGGUCAUGGACUGCGGCCUUCAGAUGGGAGAAGAUGCUUCCAGACUUUGCCCGGUCAUUCUUCUCCACACCUUAACUCACCUGAAAACAGAUGCAGCGAGAAGCAUCUUUCUCUGCCCGGCCGUCUCCUCACAGAUGUCUCCCGAAACAUUUUUUCACAACACCUUUUUGCCUUUGAAAAGGGAUCAACACACAGUCCCUGUCUGGGGAGCCGUGGUGCAGGGGAGUGUAGCAAGUUAAACCCAGUCUCCACCACUCACCGGGUAAUCUUGGACGCAUUAUUGGUCUCUCCGAGCUGUUUCUAUGACCACAAGACAGAGGAAGAGAAAUGGUGCGUGUCCUCUCAUCCCCAGUCCCCACCACCCCCACCCCUGCUCCCUGCCCCGAGCCAGGCAUUCCAAGCAGAAAGCAGACCCCUUCGGGCACCCAGCUGGGAUCAAUUCGGCAGAGCCACACAGAAUGUGAGAAGCCAAUCAGUUCAAAGCCAGGUUUGCACAACUGUGUCCAUUCUUCCUCCAAGAAAUUUCACACCUUGACACCAAGGAGCCGGUGUUUAAGAAAGAGGA